rnacentral:lncRNA from 1 species
CAAUUACUGCAAUCUCAAAAUAGCCGUUUAUUGAGCUGAAACAUACAAUUAUUUUUUGGUUUGAUUUUUCUCUUAAAAAUCCUUGUUUACGUGUCAACAAGCAACACGUACCUAUCCGUCUUUCUUACCAAUCCACCAGUAUCUUUGAAUCUGAAAUUGCGUGGUUAAAAUAUACCCGAGGAGUAUCUAAUUGUGUGGUUCAAAUUUUGUUUUAAAAAAAAAUCUCAAAUUGUGACACGUUAAUUAUUGAUAUUUCAUUUACAUGUCAGCAGACAACAUGUACCUAUCUGUCUUUCUCACCAAUCCAUCAAUGUCUUAAAAUCUCAAAUUGAGUGGUUCAAAAAUACAUCAAGAUUAUCAAAUUGUGGUUCAAAAUUUUACUUAAAAAAAAUCUCAAUUUGUGACGUUUUUGGUUUAAAAUAACAGUGAAAACAAUUUUGACUUGUGGGUCCGGCUACGGUGCUUGUGACACCAUACCCCAUUUUUUGUCUUUUGUUGUUGGUAAAUUGUAGUUAGCUCCUUACUCUUUCUUUUAUUUACAUUUUCACUUCAAUAUAAUAAAAAAUUAGAGUUAGCUCAUUACUCUAAUUCCUAAAAUUACUCUUCAAAAUUCAAAUACAUUUUCAUCAAAAACUUUUUAUUCCUUAACUAUCCUCAUAUAAUGAAUACAUUUAUGGGUUCAAAUAGUCUUAUCCUUCAAUUUUAGUUUUCACACAUUAAAGCUAUUUCAUCAUGUACAAAAUACAAUAAAACUUCUAUAUAGUCAUAUUGUUGGCACUAGAGAAAUUUAUUUUUAUAAAGAAGUUAUAACUCAAUGGAGGUAUAGUACAAAAAUUAUUAUCUUUGUUUAAUUAUCCCUAAUGUAAGUGAUAUACAUGUAAAUUAUGUCAUGUAUUAAUAAUCAAAUGGAUAUUAAUGUCUUCAUCAAUCAUCCAAAUGAACGACAAGUCAGGUCUGCUUUAACUGAAGAAAAAAUUAUUGAUGCAAUUAGACAAGAAGAGAAAGGGGAUAAUCCUGAGAAUGACAGUACAGAAAUAUAAAAAUUUUCAUGUUAGGAAGCUACAAACAUACUUGAGAAGAUAGAAAUGUUUUGGUUUCAACAAGAAGAUGCAUAUACUGACCAAUUAAUACAUAUCCGCAAGUUGAAAGAUGUGGUUGUAACUUUA